CAAUAGCGUAUAUUAAAGUUGUUGCAGUUAAAAAGCUCGUAGUUGAAUUUCUGGUUGAAGCGACCGGUCGGGCGUUGAUUCGUCUGCACUGGAGUCGGUUUUGGCCAUCCUCUAGGAAAGUGCGUCUGGUAUUAAGUUAUCGGGCGUAUGAUCCUGGUCUUUUACUGUGAAAAAAUUAGAGUGUUUAAAGCAGGCCUUCGCCUUGAAUACAUUAGCAUGGAAUAAUAAGAUAGGACUUUGGUCUAUUUUGUUGGUUUGCAGACCGAAGUAAUGAUUAAUAGGGAUAGUUGGGGGUAUUUAUAUUCCGAUGUCAGAGGUGAAAUUCUUAGAUUUUCGGAAGAUAAACUUAUGCGAAAGCAUUUACCAAGGAUGUUUNCAUUAA
rnacentral:rRNA from 1 species